GAUGAACGCUGGCGGCGUGCCUAAUACAUGCAAGUCGAGCGAACGGACGAGAAGCUUGCUUCUCUGAUGUUAGCGGCGGACGGGUGAGUAACACGUGGAUAGCCUACCUAUAAGACUGGGAUAACUUCGGGAAACCGUAGCUAAUACCGGAUAAUAUUUUGAACCGCAUGGUUCAAAAGUGAAAGACGGUCUUGCUGUCACUUAUAGAUGGAUCCGCGCUGCAUUAGCUAGUUGGUAAGGUAACGGCUUACCAAGGCAACGAUGCGUAGCCGACCUGAGAGGGUGAUCGGCCACACUGGAACUGAGACACGGUCCAGACUCCUACGGGAGGCAGCAGUAGGGAAUCUUCCGCAAUGGGCGAAAGCCUGACGGAGCAACGCCGCGUGAGUGAUGAAGGUCUUCGGAUCGUAAAACUCUGUUAUUAGGGAAGAACAUAUGUGUAAGUAACUGUGCACAUCUUGACGGUACCUAAUCAGAAAGCCACGGCUAACUACGUG
rnacentral:rRNA from 1 species